UUGUACACCCCCGGGAAGGGGGUGUGGCGGACGGCUGAGUAACACGUGGCUAACCUACCCUCGGGACGGGGAUAACCCCGGGAAACUGGGGAUAAUCCCCGAUAGGGGAAGAGUCCUGGAACGGUUCUUCCUCUAAAGGGCUAUGAGCUGUUCCCGCUCAUAGCCGCCCGAGGAUGGGGCUGCGGCCCAUCAGGCUGUUGGCGGGGUAAAGGCCCGCCAAACCUAUAACGGGUAGGGGCCGUGGGAGCGGGAGCCCCCAGUUGGGCACUGAGACAAGGGCCCGGGCCCUACGGGGCGCACCAGGCGCGCAACGUCUUCAAUGCACGCAAGUGUGAAAGCGCUACCCCGAGUGCCUCUUUGAGGCUUUUCUACGCUCUAAAAAGGCGUAGGAAUAAGCGGAGGGCAAGACUGGUGUCAGCCGCCGCGGUAAUACCAGCUCCUCCGCGAGUGAUCGGGACAUUUAUUGGGGCCUAAAGCGCCCGUAGCCGGCUCUAUAAGUCACUGCUUAAAGACCCGGGCUCAACCCGGGGAAGGGUAGUGAUACUAUGGAGCUAGGGGGCGGGAGAGGUCGGGGGUACUCCUAGAGUAGGGGCGAAAUCCGUAGAUCCUAGGAGGACCACCAGUGGCGGAGGCGCCCGGGCUAGAACGCGCCCGACGGUGAGGGGCGAAAGCUGGGGUAGCAAAAGGGAUUAGAUACCCCUGUAGUCCCAGCUGUAAACCGAUGCGGGCUAGGUGUCACGUGAGCUUAGAGCCCACGUGGUGCCGCAGGGAAGCCUUUAGGCCCGCCGCCUGGGGAAUACGGCCGCUAGGCUGAAACUGAAGAGAAUUGGCCGGGCAGUCACUAGA
rnacentral:rRNA from 1 species